GGCUUUCUUUAGUAUACUGAAGUUUAGUUCCGUCUUCAUCUUCUUCUUUGGUUUGAUCUGAUUACGCUGCUACAAAAAUCGAUCAAAGUAAGAUAAAAAAAUGGCUUGGCGCAGUGCUGCUCGCUCUUUCGUCUCCGCAACCGCUAGAGCUCCGUCUCUCCGAUCUCCUCCGGCGACGCUUCCUCGCCUCCGUCCUUCCUCUUUACCUCGCCGCCGAUUUGCGUCUUUCACUAAUCCCAGGAAUUUGGGAGAGCUAGGAUGCACAGAGUCUUUCUUGCCUCUGUACAAUGUUGUGUCUGCAGCUCGACUCACAUCUCACCUAAAUGUCAAUCUGCGAGCUUUCUGCGAGCUCUCUAACGGUACCUUCCCACGCACUUGUCAAGAUCGCUAAUUACUCUUCAUUUGGAAUGGAAAAGAUGGGUGAUGGAAGUGGAUUUUCAGUCGCUGUCAAGAGAGGUGCUACUGCUUUGUACUUGAAUGCGCAAAGUGGAUGCAUCAGUAAUCUUGAAGCAGUUGGAGACUUGAAAAAAGGGGUGUACCAAGAAGAACUCAUUGGUUGUUUUGUGUUCCAUUAGAAACCAAAAACUAGUUACAUUAUUUUACCUUCCUUCACAUUUGACAAUUUCCAGUUUUAGAAUAUCUGGAUUUCUCUUCAUUUUUCUUGUUUAAGCCCAAUGGCUUUGAAUACUUGAGGGUAGAUUCGACUUAUCUUUCGGCAUAUUCUUCAAGAACCAUUGUUUCAUCUUGUAAUUUUUGUUGUUACCAAACU